rnacentral:sRNA from 1 species
GAUUCUGCCCUACGGGGAAGGAUGAGAAGCUUCGACCAAGGUUCGACUCGAGCGUAGCGAGAGAACGUUGCCGCAGGCAACGGCCCGAAGGGCGAGGCGCUUAGCGCCGAGUUAUCCUUCCCCCACCACCA